GACGAACGCGGGGGGCGUGCUUAACACAUGCAAGUCGAACGAAGAGCGAUGGAAGCUUGCUUCUAUCAAUUUUAGUGGCGAACGGGUGAGUAACGCGUAAUCAACCUGCCCUUCAGAGGGGGACAACAGUGGGAAACGACUGCUAAUACCGCAUACGAUCUAACCUCGGCAUCGAGGAAAGAUGAAAGGUGGCCUCUAUGUAUAAGCUAUCACUGAAGGAGGGGAUUGCGUCUGAUUAGCUAGUUGGAGGGGUAACGGCCCACCAAGGCGAUGAUCAGUAGCCGGUCUGAGAGGAUGAACGGCCACAUUGGGACUGAGACACGGCCCAGACUCCUACGGGAGGCAGCAGUGGGGAAUCUUCCGCAAUGGACGAAAGUCUGACGGAGCAACGCCGCGUGAGUGAUGACGGCCUUCGGGUUGUAAAGCUCUGUUAAUCGGGACGAAAGGCCUUCUUGCGAAUAGUAGAAGGAUGACGGACCGAAA
rnacentral:rRNA from 1 species